rnacentral:misc_RNA from 1 species
GGAAGCACAGACCCGUUAAGAAACCCGUUUGGCAAAGCGGAGAAACCUAUACGGUUCAGCAAUUUCAGGUUAAAGCUAAAGCCUUUGAGAAGAAUUACUUGAGAAAGAAUUCAAAGAGAGCAUUGACACCACUUGAAGUUGAAACCCUUUAUUGGAAAGCCACUGUGGAUAAACCCUUUUCGGUGGAGUAUGCAAAUGAUAUGCCAGGUUCUGCAUUUGCGCCAAAGAAGGCUUCUUUGGCAGCAGGGGGUAUUGGGGAAGUGAGUACUCUGGCAGAUACAGAGUGGAAUAUGAGAGGAGUGUCAAGGUCAAAAGGGUCUUUACUGAAGUUCAUGAAAGAGGAGAUCCCAGGGGUAACUUCCCCUAUGGUGUAUCUUGCCAUGAUGUUUAGUUGG